GACGAACGCUGGCGGCGUGCUUAACACAUGCAAGUCGAACGGAAAGGCCUUUUCGGAGGUACUCGAGUGGCGAACGGGUGAGUAACACGUGGGUGAUCUGCCCUGCACUCUGGGAUAAGCCUGGUAAACUGGGUCUAAUACCGGAUAGGAACGCACUUUAGUGGGUGGGGUGGAAAGUUUUGUCGGUGGAGGAUGAGCCCGCGGCCUAUCAGCUUGUUGGUGGGGUAAGGGCCUACCAAGGCGGGGACGGGUAGCCGGCCUGAGAGGGUGGCCGGCCACAUUGGGACUGAGCUACGGCCCAGACUCCUACGGGGGGCAGCAGGGGGGAAUAUUGCACAAUGGGCGGAAGCCUGAUGCAGCAACGCCGCGUGGGGGAUGACGGCCUUCGGGUUGUAAACCCCUUUCGCCGGGGACGAAGCGUUUGUGACGGUAACGGGUAAAGAAGCACCGGCUAACUACGUG
rnacentral:rRNA from 1 species